GAGGCCGUGAUGAUAUUACAUGAUAGGGACAGCUGAUUUAUAUGAUUGAUUUAUCAAGUUUUAUCUGAUUUA
rnacentral:snoRNA from 1 species